rnacentral:rRNA from 1 species
CCUACGGGGUGCAGCAGUGGGGGAUAUUGCACAAUGGGGGAAACCCUGAUGCAGCAACGCCGCGUGUGGGAAGAAGGUUUUCGGAUUGUAAACCACUGUUCUUGGUGAAGAUAAUGACGGUAACCAAGGAGAAAGCUCCGGCUAACUACGUGCCAGCAGCCGCGGUAAUACGUAGGGAGCAAGCGUUGUCCGGAUUUACUGGGUGUAAAGGGUGCGUAGGCGGUCUUGCAAGUCAGACGUGAAAACCACAGGCUCAACCUGUGGACUGCGUUUGAAACUGUGGGGCUUGAGUGAAGUAGAGGUAGGCGGAAUGCGCGGUGUAGCGGUGAAAUGCAUAGAUAUCGCGCAGAACUCCGAUUGCGAAGGCAGCGUACCGGCGCCAGACUGACGCUGAGGCACGAAAGCGUGGGGAUUGAACAGGAUUAGAUACCCCUGUAGUC